CGCCUCCCCUUAUUUUCCUAUCGCCCCUUCAUGCUUUGUGCCGGCACCGUGGGUCCGUGGCCACCAGCGACUUCAGCGUUGGCUCGUCCCCUCGGAAGGGUCGUCGGGGCGCAGUUCUCCCAAGCGGUUGGUGAGGCUGAGGAGCGCCGGGGACUGUGGGCACGGCUCGAAACCAUGGCGCAGGCAGUAGUAUACCGGCGGAAGGUGUGCCGCGACCGCGAGUUCCACGCUGCCGGAGUCGUGCACGGGCUCGUCGUCGAACUCGCGCUCUGGUCAUAGAUGAGCCAUCCGGCGCUGGGUCCGCCCAGCAGCCACUCCAUAGGCCGAACGGCGGAUUCAGGAGGCAGCGGCACUAGUUUUUUUUUUUUUUUGCGGGUGCAGCGGCACUAGUUGUCGGCGUCCGCGCUGAAGUUGGAGGCAGAGGCCUCAUUCUGCGUUCGGCACUGCGGAAGUUUCCGGCGCGGCAGCGGCCCUGAUACUUGGUCCAGGGGCUCCAGGGUAGUUGCGGCGCUGCACCCAGCGGUUGCUGCGAAGGCGGCGGCGGCCGCCAGGCGACGUCGGGGUAGCCAAAGGUUUCCGCAGUGGCGGAGGCGGCGGUGGAGGCCGUCGUUUCUGUCCGGACGACCGUGACAGCGAAGGCUUAAUGCCCGGCGACCGUCGGAGUUCCAUCGGCGAGUAGCAGCGAGAGCGAAAUUCCGGCGAGGAAAACGAGAGUGCCGGUGCUCUCUGGCCACAAAGCGAAGGAACAAGCAACAUCCGGCAAGAAAAUCAUCAGUUUCUCACCUUUCUUCUCCGUUCUCUCCUGUAGCCUAUUUGCUCUAGUCAGAACAGUGCUUGAUAACGUGAAGAGAGUAUAGAGAAAUGAAAGUGAAAGAGUGAUUUCAUUGAUAAUGACUGUAGGCUUUUAUAUGACCUGAACAAUCGCAAGUACGUACAUGUCUGUUACAAUAGUCGCGUUGUUUAGAAAAGGCACGACGAUGGUUAGAGAGACACAUCGUAUGGACAAAGCCAAUAUUCUAACUGCUAGAUAGAAUAUUCUAAGGAAUAUGCUAAUUGCCUAAUUACUCUAAAUCUAAAGAUAUUUUAUUCCUAACAUUAUUUAUCUAAACAUGCAGGCUAUCCACGUCAUCAAUCAUGCCAUGUCAGUAAAAACUGUUCCAUCGUCUGCCGUGUCAGCAAACGUCGAGUGAAAAGAAAUUAAUGUCGCGUCCGGUUCCAACGCAGUCCAUUCGCUUCCCCUUCCACCGUCCGUAACCGAUGAGUAAAUCGAAUCUAAUGUCGACGCCACCGCAUGCGGUACUGCUCCCCUUUCCCUUCAUCCUCCGCGAAAGUGACCCAGCGAGGCGCCGCAACGUUGCCGAAGUGCCGAGCGAGGGCGACUCCCGGUGAUCCAGGCACGCCAUCCGCUGUGACACCAGUGAGCCGCCCCGCCAUCCUGGAGACAUCGCCCUGACCCCGCUACCCCGCGUCCCCAUUGGCGCCGACACGUGUGACCUUGGCGAGUCAACCCGCAACCCUCGACGCGCGAUGCUGCUCCGGCAACCCUGGCUAACUGCGUGUCCACUCUUCCACCGAUCCCUCUACAUGCUGUUCAGAGGGAGGUCACUGCCUUGAGCGCCUUGUGAUCACCGCAGGUCAACUUAUACUCGCACCCCAUUGCAGGUAAAUCGAGACCCGCGGGCUCCGACGGCCCAUGAUCGCGCUCCGGCGUCAACCAGAGAUCCUGGUGAGGCCACACGUGCCACCCUCGGUGUCCUCCCUCAACAACACCUGCACCAAAGAAGAAAGCUCUAUUCCAAUCUCCAGCAACUUCCUCCGUGGCAGCAUGUCUGGUCUCGAGCACUGCGGGCAAGCAUUUGUUAAGGGAGGCACCACGGAUUCAUGCUCAUGUCUCCAAUCCAGUUGGUUUUGAUUGGAAGCACUAGAUGGUAUGUUGCUGCCUAGCAGUAUUAUUCCACUGUGAUGACAUGGGACCGAUCUAAUACGUGACUGGUAUCAAUGUGUGGCUGACAUUGUCGUUCUUCUACUAAAAGGUUCACAGCCGAAGGAUUUUUUUUCAGCUGCUAGGUGCUUCAUGAUUUGCCUCUUCUGUGGAAAUAAGUUUCAUGCGCAUCAAAGCGAGGUCAGAGAUGAAAACCCAUACUUUCUCAAGAAUAAUGUUAGUAUGUAAUUCACAGUUCUAGAACAUAAUUGUUCAUGAAAAGUGUAAUAUAUUCCAUGGGCCUCUGUUUUGAUUACAUAAUUUUUACAACAGUUAGAUGAGAGUAAAAUUCAACUUCCUAUCUUAUCUGCCAUAUCUAGCUCGGUAUAGCUAGCUUCCACCCUUUUGGUUAAUAUCUAUUUCCACUUCUCCAGUUAUUACAAUGCUCCUAAUUCUUUUGGUUGAUUUUGUUUCCUCCAUCAGCGCCUGAGGUUGUCAAUUCAAAGUACUACUAUGAAUAUUUCUUUUAGGAAUAUGAGUUACGCGUUAAUCAAUUGGUGCCUUCAAGUGUGCCUUUCAAAGAAAUCCAUAUAUUAACAAGAUCGAUGGAAAAUUGUAUAUUUGCAUUUGAUUUACAUAAUGAUGUGUAGACUUUUCCUUUGGGAAAUUGAGUCUUUUAUUAAUUAUUUGCACCGUCACACAACCACCAAAAUGUUCACUCCAUGCAAUUGCCUUAUCAUUCAUAUUUCUGCAUAAACAGACUGGUAUAUGUUUUGUUUUCUUAAAAUUCCUUAAAAGAAAUUAUUAUUGCUGCUGCUAUUGUUGUUCCGUUUUUGUUUUUAAAAAUUCACCCAUGCUGAGUAAAUAUGAAUUAUAAAUGCCACAAGUUUUCAUACUCCAAGUGAUCUCUUUAAUGUAUCUAUUUUCUCUUUCGUGCAUAUUCCCUUCAGAUAUGUAAUAGUAUAGCCCAUAAUCAAAUGAUAUAUUUCUACAAUUUUAAUAAAGGUAUGUUUGUUGUUCCCUCAAAUGGGUGAUAUAUUACAGUUUACAGGUUCCUCGUGGUAUUGGUGUUUGUUCAGCUGAAUACUUAACUUGAAUACACCCGUAGUUUACCUUCAUGUCUCAUGUGUACUCCUCCUUCGGCAUGGGAUGUAAAGCUCGCUGAUAUUUCUAUGAUUUGGCACAUAUGCUAUCAUUUAUUGUCUAUCUAAUGUGUUUGGUUUGAAAUAGCUGCAAGAAUAGUAACUGAAGUUCAGUUUCCAAACAUGCAUGUGUAAUUACUAUCAAACAAUUUUCUAUAAGGCUAAGAGCUUAGAUAUUAUUUCUUUAAACUUAUAUCUUCACUUUCCAGACGUAAGAAAUAACACUUAUGGUUAGAAUUAUACUACACGAUUGUUCUGGUGUUGAUAACAGUCCUAGCCUAAAAAAUUUGCCCUUGGUGAGAGGAGCAGGUCUAGCCCAUUGUGAUCAUGCUUGGUUUAAUUGGUCUAUGCUUGCUGGGAGCCUAUUAAUAACUAGUAGAACGCCCGUGCGUUGCUACGGGCUACAAUGCAUAGAAAUAAAUCAAAUGAAGCUAGAUAACUUCUGUUAUUUUCACGUGAAUAACAUGAGGCAAAGUAAUAAGUAAGCAGUUUAGUUCCUGAGAGUGGACCCAAUAUUUCAGUCUCAUAUGCUCAUUGGAUUGGCAAAACUUUACAAUCGCAUUAGAAAAGUUCCAUGGUAGUUUGUUUACUUAACAGGAAAAAGGUCAAGAAAAUGCAGGGUCUAACUGAACCAUUAGCUCCCAGUGGCUUGUUAUCUGCAACCUUUACAAAAUCCAAAAAAAGUAUAUUUUGAAAUAUGAUGCCCAAGAACAAUCAUGGAUCAGAUGGUUGUAUCUGAUUCCAAACAGACUGAGGCCCUGUCCAAACAAAUAAUAAUAAAUUGCUGACUCAUUAAUUUUAUGCACCAAGUAUAAUGCAAAUAGGAAUACGUAGCAC